GACGGAGGAUGCAAGCGUUAUCCGGAAUGAUUGGGCGUAAAGCGUCCGCAGGUGGCAGUUCAAGUCUGCUGUCAAAGACCGGGGCUUAACUUCGGAAAGGCAGUGGAAACUGAACAGCUAGAGUAUGGUAGGGGCAGAGGGAAUUCCUGGUGUAGCGGUGAAAUGCGCAGAUAUCAGGAGGAACACCGAUGGCGAAGGCAGCUUCCUGGUCCAAUUCUGACGCUGAGGUGCGAAAGCGUGGGUAGCGAACGGG
rnacentral:rRNA from 1 species